CAACACAGUCCUCUCCCAUCACCUCGCAAGCCAUGGAAACACACUGCCCCGCUGAAAAUUCCGUCGAACACCUUGCUGUCGUGCCACUGCACCGCGUUCCCUCCUCCCUCUGCACCACCGACGCGAGCGUCGCGCCAAAGCGUGGCACCGUGGCUUAGAUGAGCCUCUCCACCGCCCAUCUCCGCCAAUCCACCGCUGCCGCCCGCUCUUCUCUCUCGCCACAGACCCGGUGCACCGUGCACCGGCGUUGGCCUUUAAGAAGGGCCAGGCCUCUCAUGCUCGUCCCCUUCGCCUCCAUUUUCCCCACUCCAACCCUCCACUCCCCCUCCUGAGCGGAGAAGAGCUCCACCUCUCCCUGCUACCCGAGCUCCACCUCGCCUUCCGUAACCUCACGGUGAAGGUCACCGGAGUUCACCGUCGCCGGGCGCCACCGUGUCCGCCGAGCUCGCCCGUCGCUGUCCAACUCAGACGCCUGUGAUCUCAGCCGUCGCUAUCACUGCGGGUGCUGCCGCUGGAGAAACGUUUCUGCGGCACGGCGGCGACCCACCACACCCUCCUCGACUGCUUCGGACCUGCCCCGAGCGCCCUAGAUUCGAACGCCGCCGGAAUCAGAGGAGGAGGUGAAGUUGGAGGAAUUGAGGAAGAAGGCCAGGGACACUUUGCUGAUCAAGGCAAGCCACCUCUCUAUGCAUACCUUGUCCAAAAUAUCUUGCUCUUGCAUUAUUACAAGUUCUUAUAAAAUUGCAUGGUUUUUAUUCUAUUUAUGUGAGUGGUUCCGCCACUCGAAGUUUUAUGAUUCCACCCUUACGGGUGCAGCCCUCGUGAUACCUACUGAUCCAACACUUGCUAGAGAUAUGGUGCUUAACACCUUAUCAUCCUUGUCGCCGCUUUUCAAAGAAAAGUUAGACUAUAGGUCGGGAGCCCUCUUUAAAAAGGUUUGUGAAAAAAAAUUCACGAAAGAAGUGUUUCGAAAACCUUGGAAUGGGGUAGCCCUGCCCAAGUGUGAGU